rnacentral:miRNA from 1 species
CCAGAUGUUGCUGAACUACAACCCCCAUGAUUCUUUAAAUGAAAUGGCCAGGGAAUCAUGGGAGUUGUAGUUCAGCAACAUUUGG